UGAGGUAAGUUGGCAGCUCCCGAAACUGAGCUUUGGCAGAAAUAUAACCUCCUUUGUACACAAUUAGGUUCUUUUAGUCUCACUUAAACUGCCACCCACCUUCUAUUGUGCGCUAUAAACCUUCCAAACAGCCUGAACUUUCCUCUUUUUUUAUUAACAUGUAAAUUAAAUCCAUUUACCUUCCUGCUAGUCAUCUUCAUCUGGGUACAAAUUAAUCUAAGGAGAACCCAGCUGAGACAAAGACAGGCUGCUUAUCCUCCACUGUAUUCUCCUGCUUUUUUCCACGUCUUGUUGGCUUGUCUGCUUAGAGUCAAACCAAUUCACUCCACCUCUUUUGUUGUUAAGAACACCGUCAAUGAACUAAACCCAAGGAGCUGUGCAGCACAGACAAAAUGUAAGGCUGGUGAGGACCAAACACAUUUGUCUCUCCUGACCAACAGCGCUUCCUGUGAUAAGAAUAGUUUCUGCUUACCACAAGCUGCCACGAACUUAUGCACAAAUUCCACUUUCUGAGAACUCAACCAACAUGCCUCAGGCUGACCUUCAUGUGAAUCUUGGCAGGUUCAGUUCACACGGCUCGGCAAAAAGCAAUCUCAGCUCCUGGAGUUUGUCCACAAGGUUUGCACUCAUUCACCCCAGGCUUUUCAGCUCCAGUUGAAAACAGAAGGUGGAUUUCAGGUUUUACUGUAGAACAGUAUGUGGUAUGACUCCAAGGAACCUGUUUUGGUAGCAACAAACUGAAUUUAACAGUAGUUUCUGUUUUAUGCAGGUUGUUUUCAGAGGUUGUUGACAUCAUCCCACCUGUCUGGGCUUCUCUGUUGUGAUGAUAUCCUCACCAGGAGACCUUCUUGCCUUUAAGAGCAGCUAUUCUUCUUCCAUCCCGAAACGCAGAUGGCUUUUCUCAGAACUUGAAAAUGUUAUUCUCUAAUCGACUGAAUUGAACUUUGUAUUUCGUGAAGUGAUGGGGACUAAGUACAGUCUGUCUGUAACGACACAUUAGUCUUCUAAGAAGCUGUACAGAGCACGGCCAGAAGACCUUUGGGCUCAUCUGAAAACACUGCAUUCGAGUGAAAACUGAACUAAAAAUAGUAAUUACUGGAAAACAAAGGGGACAACCUGACCCCACAGUUGGCAGACUCAGUACAACAGCAGCAAUGUGCAAUUGUAUGCAUAUUUCUAAACCAUACUUGAGAGCAGCUUCAAGGAGCUUCCAAAUAGAGAUGCAUGAAUAGCUCUGACAGGAGCAAGGGCCCAAACACAAACCAGCCUGUUUAACAUAUUGCAGCUUAUCUAGCUGCAAAGGCUUUCAAAUGGACAAGACCUGAAUCUUUUCCCUUAUAGCAGAAGACUUGAACAAACAGCAAAGCUGUAAACGACCACAAUGAGGUAAGCCUGGGUCAGUUUAGGAGUGAUGCCCUAUGCUGUGGUAGUACAUAGAAAUCCAAGUGCAGUUCAGGCUCUUGUAUGAUAUGGCACUGCACUGCUCCCUAGAAUUAAGAUGGGGAAAAAAAUACGUAUAGUAUGAGAAAUAAGGAUUUGAGCUUGCUAGGAUUAAAGGACAGCUCAGCAUCAAAGCCAUGAGCAAAUGCAGGCAGAACUGAGCCUAGCAGCAACAGUUUUACUCACUGGCUACUCUAAAGGAACAGCGGCUGGUACCAUAAAUUAGAACUAGUAUCAGUGCAAUCUCUUCAAGCCACUCCCCAGACCAGAUUACGUGUGUAUUUUUUUCAUACAGUGUAUACCAAGGAAACCCUUAUUAUCCACAGGCAGAUCUCUCAGCUGGGAUCAGGCCAUAGCAGCGUGAGGCAGAGCUAAGAAAUGCAGAUCAUCCUAUCCCAAAAUGUCACUUUUUAGCUCUUUUAUGUAUUAUUUAGACUCAGAAGAACAGAAAUAAAAAGCAUCUUUUUUCCCCCCUUUGUA